AGUGAACGCUGGCGGCAGGCCUAACACAUGCAAGUCGAGCGGCAGCGGGUCCUUCGGGAUGCCGGCGAGCGGCGGACGGGUGAGGAAUGCAUCGGAAUCUGCCUUUUUGUGGGGGAUAACGUAGGGAAACUUACGCUAAUACCGCAUACGACCUACGGGUGAAAGCCGGGGACCUUCGGGCCUGGCGCAGAGAGAUGAGCCGAUGCCGGAUUAGCUAGUUGGCGGGGUAAAGGCCCACCAAGGCGACGAUCCGUAGCUGGUCUGAGAGGAUGAUCAGCCACACUGGAACUGAGACACGGUCCAGACUCCUACGGGAGGCAGCAGUGGGGAAUAUUGGACAAUGGGCGCAAGCCUGAUCCAGCCAUGCCGCGUGAGUGAAGAAGGCCUCGG
rnacentral:rRNA from 1 species